CGAUCUGCUGGGGGCAGAUGAAAUGGAUAUGGCUGUCGAAGCCGCCCGCGGUCAGGAUACGCCCCUCGCCGGCGAUGGCCUCGGUGCCCGGGCCGAUCACGAUGUCCACGCCCGGCUGGGUGUCGGGGUUGCCGGCCUUGCCGAUCCCCGCGAUCCGCCCGUCGCGGAGCCCGAUAUCCGCCUUCGUGAUCCCGGUGUGAUCGACGAUCAGGGCAUUGGUGAUGACGGUGUCCACCGCGCCCUCGGCCCGUGUCACCUGCGAUUGCCCCAUGCCGUCGCG
rnacentral:sRNA from 1 species